rnacentral:rRNA from 1 species
UACGAAGGGGCUAGCGUUGCUCGGAAUCACUGGGCGUAAAGCGCACGUAGGCGGACUCUUAAGUCGGUGGUGAAAUCCUGGAGCUCAACUCCAGAACUGCCUUCGAUACUGGGAGUCUCGAGUUCGGGAGAGGUGAGUGGAACUGCGAGUGUAGAGGUGAAAUUCGUAGAUAUUCGCAAGAACACCAAGUGGCGAAGGCGGCUCACUGGCCCGAUACUGACGCUGAGGUGGCGAAA